rnacentral:rRNA from 1 species
GACGAACGCUGGCGGCGUGCUUAACACAUGCAAGUCGAACGGAAAGGCCUGCUUUCCCUUGUGGAUUGCGGGUACUCGAGUGGCGAACGGGUGAGUAACACGUGAGUGAUCUGCCCCCAACUUGGGUAUAAGCCUGGGAAACUGGGUCUAAUUCCCGAUAGGACUGCAGGGUGGUGCCUGUGGUGGAAAACGAUUUUCUAGUGGUUGGGGAUGAGCUCGCGGCCUAUCAGCUUGUUGGUGGGGUAAUGGCCUACCAAGGCGGCGACGGGUAGCCGGCCUGGGAGGGUGGACGGCCACAUUGGGACUGAGAUAAGGCCCAGACGCCUACGGGAGGCAGCAGUGGGGAAUAUUGGCCAAUGGGCGGAAGCCUGACGCAGCGACGCCGCGUGGGGGAUGACGGCCUUCGGGUUGUAAACUCCUUUCGACCGCGAGGAAGCCACCUGGUUGGAAGGGUGGUGACGGUAGUGGUAGAAGAAGCACCGGCUAACUACGUG